CGUUCAGGGGUNAACCUGCGAAACUCGAAUGAACGAACGGGGAGAUUCAUCGUCAUCCGGCGGGCGGCUGUGCCGUUGCGCGAUGUUCAGCCCUCCGGCGAUCUCGGUCGUCGGUGCGAGUUGAGCACGCGCGCGGCGCUAGCAUCACGUCCGCCGACGGCGUGCACUUCUCCCUUAGUACUGCAUCGCGACCCGCUCGAUGUCGGUCUAAGCUCUGUUAGGGAGCCCGCGGUGAGUUCGCUCACCACGGACCUUACGGAUGCUGGCCGGCUGUCGGGCGGUAGCUGACAUGAAUCGCGCACGCGCUUGUCGCGUUCGGCACGACGCAAGGUCGUCUCGAUGCCGCCGUGUUGCCUAUUAUGUGCGGGCGGUGUGCGUCAGGCGCCUGCUCAUCGCUGCCGUUAGUCUCGAACGUGCGCGUAUCGAGUCUGCGAUGUUUUAGUUUCGGGCACUCGCAGGACCCGUCUUGAAACACGGACCAAGGAGUCUAGCAUGUGUGCGAGUCACUGGGUAUUAAAACCUAAAGGCGUAACGAAAGUGAAGGCGCUCGCUUGCCGAGCGCUCGGGGAGGAUGACUGUGCACUCACAAGGUCGCAGUUCGCACUCCCGAGGCGUCCCGUUCCCAAUUCGUGGAUGUGGGCGCGCUCAGAGCACACAUGCUGGGACCCGAAAGAUGGUGAACUAUGCCUGGUCAGGUCGAAGUCAGGGGAAACCCUGAUGGAGGACCGUAGCGAUUCUGACGUGCAAAUCGAUCGUCGGAACUGGGUAUAGGGGCGAAAGACUAAUCGAACCAUC
rnacentral:rRNA from 1 species